rnacentral:rRNA from 1 species
AUUGAACGCUGGCGGAAUGCUUUACACAUGCAAGUCGAACGGUAGAGGGGCAACCCUUGAGAGUGGCGAACGGGUGAGUAAUGUAUCGGAACAUGCCCAGUCGUGGGGGAUAACGUAGCGAAAGUUACGCUAAUACCGCAUACGAGCUAUGGAUGAAGCGGGGGAUCGCAAGACCUCGCGCGAUUGGAGUGGCCGAUAUCAGAUUAGGUAGUUGGUGGGGUAAAGGCCUACCAAGCCGACGAUCUGUAGCUGGUCUGAGAGGACGACCAGCCACACUGGGACUGAGACACGGCCCAGACUCCUACGGGAGGCAGCAGUGGGGAAUUUUGGACAAUGGGCGCAAGCCUGAUCCAGCCAUUCCGCGUGCAGGAAGAAGGCCUUCGGGUUGUAAACUGCUUUUGUACGGAACGAAACGCGCUGAGCUAAUACCUCGGCGUAAUGACGGUACCGUAAGAAUAAGCACCGGCUAACUACGUGCCAGCCGCCGCGGUAAUAC